rnacentral:rRNA from 1 species
UACAGAGGUGGCAAGCGUUGUUCGGAAUUACUGGGCGUAAAGGGCGCGUAGGCGGUCUUGCAAGUCCUGUGUGAAAUCCCUCGGCUCAACUGAGGAACUGCACAGGAAACUGCUUGGCUUGAGUUCGGGAGAGGGAAGCGGAAUUCCGGGUGUAGCGGUGAAAUGCGUAGAUAUCCGGAGGAACACCGGUGGCGAAGGCGGCGACCUGGGUCGAUACUGACGCUGAGGCGCGAAAGCGUGGGGAGCAAACAGG